UACGUAGGAGACGAGCGUUGUCCGGAAUCACUGGGCGUAAAGCGCGUGUAGGCGGAUGGGUAAGUCUGCUGUGAAAGCUCCUGGCUUAACCGGGAGUGGUCGGUGGAAACUGCCAAUCUGGAGGACGGUAGAGGUAGGUAGAAUUCCCGGUGUAGUGGUGAAAUGCGUAGAGAUCGGGAGGAAUACCUGUGGCGAAGGCGGCCUACUGGGCCGGACCUGACGCUGAGACGCGAAGGCGUGGGGAGCGAACGGG
rnacentral:rRNA from 1 species